rnacentral:rRNA from 1 species
AGAGUUUGAUCCUGGCUCAGGAUGAACGCUGGCGGCGUGCUUAACACAUGCAAGUCGAACGAAGCACUUGAAUGGAUUUCUUCGGAAUGAAGCUCUUGUGACUGAGUGGCGGACGGGUGAGUAACGCGUGGGUAACCUGCCUCAUACAGGGGGAUAACAGUUGGAAACGGCUGCUAAUACCGCAUAAGCGCACAGAAUCGCAUGAUUCAGUGUGAAAAACUGAGGUGGCAUACGAUGGACCCGCGUCUGAUUAGCUGGUUGGUGAGGUAACGGCUCACCAAGGCGACGAUCAGUAGCCGGCCUGAGAGGGUGAACGGCCACAUUGGGACUGAGACACGGCCCAAACUCCUACGGGAGGCAGCAGUGGGGAAUAUUGCACAAUGGGGGAAACCCUGAUGCAGCGACGCCGCGUGAGUGAAGAAGUAUUUCGGUAUGUAAAGCUCUAUCAGCAGGGAAGAAAGGCCCUUUUAGGGAGAUGACGGUACCUGACUAAGAAGCCCCGGCUAACUACGUGCCAGCAGCCGCGGUAAUACGUAGGGGGCAAGCGUUAUCCGGAUUUACUGGGUGUAAAGGGAGCGCAGACGGAACUGCAAGUCUGAUGUGAAAGCCCGGGGCUCAACCGCGGGACUGCAUCGGAUACUGUAGAUCUGGAGUGCCGGAGGGGCAAGCGGAAUUCCUGGUGUAGCGGUGAAAUGCGUAGAUAUCAGGAGGAACACCGGCGGCGAAGGCGGCUUGCUGGACGGCAACUGACGUUGAGGCUCGAAAGCGUGGGGAGCAAACAGGAUUAGAUACCCUGGUAGUCCACGCUGUAAACGAUGAAUACUAGGUGUGGGCAUGCAAGGCAUGUCCGUGCCGCAGCUAACGCAAUAAGUAAUCCACCUGGGGAGUACGACCGCAAGGUUGAAACUCAAAGGAAUUGACGGGGGCCCGCACAAGCAGUGGAGUAUGUGGUUUAAUUCGAAGCAACGCGAAGAACCUUACCAGGUCUUGACAUCCAACUAACGAGAUAGAGAUAUGUCAGGUGCCCUUCGGGGAAAGUUGAGACAGGUGGUGCAUGGUUGUCGUCAGCUCGUGUCGCGAGAUGUUGGGUUAAGUCCCGCAACGAGCGCAACCCCUGCCAUUAGUUGCUACGCAAGAGCACUCUAAUGGGACCGCUACCGACAAGGUGGAGGAAGGUGGGGACGACGUCAAAUCAUCAUGCCCCUUAUGACCUGGGCUACACACGUAAUACAAUGGCCGUUAACAGAGGGAAGCAAUACCGCGAGGUGGAGCAAAACCCCAAAAACGGUCCCAGUUCGGAUCGCAGGCUGCAACCCGCCUGCGUGAAGUUGGAAUUGCUAGUAAUCGCGGAUCAGCAUGCCGCGGUGAAUACGUUCCCGGGCCUUGUACACACCGCCCGUCA